CCUACGGGAGGCUGCAGUGGGGAAUAUUGCACAAUGGGCGCAAGCCUGAUGCAGCCAUGCCGCGUGUGUGAAGAAGGCCUUCGGGUUGUAAAGCACUUUCAGCGGGGAGGAAGGCGUUAAGGUUAAUAACCUUGGCGAUUGACGUUACCCGCAGAAGAAGCACCGGCUAACUCCGUGCCAGCAGCCGCGGUAAUACGGAGGGUGCAAGCGUUAAUCGAAAUUACUGGGCGUAAAGCGCACGCAGGCGGUCUGUCAAGUCGGAUGUGAAAUCCCCGGGCUCAACCUGGGAACUGCAUUCGAAACUGGCAGGCUAGAGUCUUGUAGAGGGGGGUAGAAUUCCAGGUGUAGCGGUGAAAUGCGUAGGGAUCUGGAGGAAUACCGGUGGCGAAGGCGGCCCCCUGGACAAAGACUGACGCUCAGGUGCGAAAGCGUGGGGAGCAAACAGGAUUAGAUACCCGAGUAGUC
rnacentral:rRNA from 1 species